AUUGAACGCUGGCGGCAUGCCUUACACAUGCAAGUCGAACGGUAACAGGUCUUCGGAUGCUGACGAGUGGCGAACGGGUGAGUAAUACAUCGGAACGUGCCUAGUAGUGGGGGAUAACUACUCGAAAGAGUGGCUAAUACCGCAUGAGAUCUACGGAUGAAAGCAGGGGAUCGCAAGACCUUGUGCUACUAGAGCGGCCGAUGGCAGAUUAGGUAGUUGGUGGGAUAAAAGCUUACCAAGCCGACGAUCUGUAGCUGGUCUGAGAGGACGAUCAGCCACACUGGGACUGAGAUACGGCCCAGACUCCUACGGGAGGCAGCAGUGGGGAAUUUUGGACAAUGGGCGCAAGCCUGAUCCAGCAAUGCCGCGUGCAGGAUGAAGGCCUUCGGGUUGUAAACUGCUUUUGUACGGAACGAAAAGCCCUGGGUUAAUACCCUGGGGUCAUGACGGUACCGUAAGAAUAAGCACCGGCUAACUACGUGCCAGCCGCCGCAGUAAGAC
rnacentral:rRNA from 1 species